rnacentral:rRNA from 1 species
CCAAUAGCGUAUAUUAAAGUUGUUGCAGUUAAAAAGCUCGUAGUUGAAUUUCGGGAUUGACACGUCGGUCGUGCCUUAAGGGGUAUGAACUGGCGUAGUCAAUUUCUCACCUUCUGGAGAACCGCGCUGUCCUUAAUUGGGUGACGCGGGGAACCAGGACCUUUACUUUGAAAAAAUUAGAGUGUUUAAAGCAGGCAUUUUGCUUGAAUACAUUAGCAUGGAAUAAUAAAAUAGGACGGCAUGAUUCUAUUUUGUUGGUUUCUAGGAUCACCGUAAUGAUUAAUAGGGAUAGUUGGGGGCAUUAGUAUUCAAUUGUCAGAGGUGAAAUUCUUGGAUUUAUUGAAGACUAACUACUGCGAAAGCAUUUGCCAAGGAUGUUUUCAUUAAUCAAGAACGAAAGUUAGGGGAUCGAAGACGAUCAGAUACCGUCGUAGUCUUAACCAUAAACUAUGCCGACUAGGAAUCAGACGAUGUUAAUUUUUUAAUGACUCGUUUGGCACCUUACG